UCACGCAAUAUUUCGCUAAACAAAUAAGCUUCAUCGGGCGUGUGCAUCUAUCUAGGUGAAAUCGGAUGCAUGACAAAAAAAUAUCUUUGUAGCUUGAGCUACACAAAGUUCGUGUAAAAGUUUAACAUAUUGAUUGAUGGUGUAUAUAAACAUAUUUUUGUCGUUUGUUGUACAUAACAAUUUUUAAAUCUUAACAAAUAGUUGUUUUAGUUAAAUAGAAUGAAAUUCAUGAUUUAUUCUUUGGUUUUUGGGUAGAACUGUUUUUCAUCCCUCUCAUUAAGUCCAUCAGGUUCAAGAGUACGUAGCUGAUGCAUCCAGAACCUUUCUCUCUGUUUUCUUUUUUCGGUGUCCCAAUUUUGGUUUACCUCAAUUAUUUGAAAGGUGAUAUUAUCAAAAGUAUGUCCUGUUCUUAAGAGGUGUCUCGUAAUUGGACAG
rnacentral:lncRNA from 1 species